UGGGUCAUAUACAUGUAGUGUCACAGCGGUACAAAGGAUGUGCAAAAUGUGGGAUUUUUCUAAAGGCAGAAAAACUCCAAAUACUGCAACAAGGGGUGUGGUCUCUGGCUCCGCUGCAGUGGGCUCAAGGGGCUCAGCUAUGAAGGUUGAUGGGACAAGUGGACAUGAUCGCAUAAAUGAGGUCUCCUUCCUUUGAGUGACGCCGGGGACCUGAGACGAGAGAGCAUGGAGUCUGGACUCAGCUGCAAAGCUGACUGCCAGGAAAAAGACCACAGUGCAAAACCACAAAGGAACAUUUCUGUGCUCUAAAUAAAUGAAACCAACUAGGUAUUCAAACUA